AUAUACCGUAUAGCGGGUUAUUUUCGCGGGUGUAAAAUUUCGCGAUUUUCAUUGAAUAAGGUAUACGAAAAAUUUUGGCGGUUAUUAUUUUGGCGGAUUCAACAUUUUUCACAUUACCUUUGCAUGUACACUUUUAAAUUGGCGGAAUUUAUUUUGGCGACUUUGUUCUAUCCGCGAAAAUAAGCGAAAAUUUACACCCCGCGAAAAUAACCCGCUAUACGGUAU
rnacentral:lncRNA from 1 species